rnacentral:rRNA from 1 species
UACGUAGGGUGCGAGCGUUGUCCGGAUUUAUUGGGGCGUAAAGAGCUUGUAGGCGGUUUGUCGCGUCGGGAGUGAAAACUCAGUGCUUAACACUGAGCCUGCUUCCGAUACGGGCAGACUUGAGGAAGGUAGGGGAGAUUGGAAUUCCUGGUGAAGCGGUGGAAUGCGUAGAUAUCAGGAGGAACACCAGUGGCGAAGGCGGAUCCCUGGACCUUUCCUGACGCUGAGAAGCGAAAGCGUGGGGAGCAAACAGGCUUAGAUACCCGUGUAGUCCCUGA